AACGAACGUUGGCGGCGUGGAUUAGGCAUGCAAGUCGCGGGAAUCCCCAGCAAUGGGGGGAACCGGCGUAAGGGGCAGUAAGGCAUGGGUAACCUACCCCGGGGUUCGGGAUAGCCCGUCGAGAGACGGGGUAAUACCGAGCGACGUCCGAGCGGGGCAUCCCGAGCGGACCACAGCUCCGGCGCCCCGGGAGGGGCCCACGUGGUAUUAGCUAGUUGGUGGGGUGACGGCCCACCAAGGCGUAGAUGCCUAGCGGGUGUGAGAGCACGACCCGCGCCACUGGCACUGAGACACUGGCCAGACACCUACGGGUGGCUGCAGUGGAGGAUCUUCGGCAAUGGGCGCAAGCCUGACCGAGCGACGCCGCGUGUGCGACGAAGGCCUUCGGGUUGUAAAGCACUGUCGAGGGGGAGGAAAGCCCGAAAGGGUGUGACCUAUCCCUGGAGGAAGCACGGGCUAAGUUCGUGCCAGCCGCCGCCGUAACAC
rnacentral:rRNA from 1 species